UACGAAGGGGGGCUAGCGUUGCUCGGAAUUACUGGGCGUAAAGGGCGCGUAGGCGGAUCGUUAAGUCAGAGGUGAAAGCCCAGGGCUCAACCCUGGAAUUGCCUUUGAUACUGGCGAUCUUGAGUACGGGAGAGGUGUGUGGAACUCCGAGUGUAGAGGUGAAAUUCGUAGAUAUUCGGAAGAACACCAGUGGCGAAGGCGACACACUGGCCCGUUACUGACGCUGAGGCGCGAAAGCGUGGGGAGCAAACAGG
rnacentral:rRNA from 1 species